rnacentral:rRNA from 1 species
GUGCUUAACACAUGCAAGUCGAACGAUGAAACCUUAGCUUGCUAAGGUGGAUUAGUGGCGCACGGGUGAGUAAUAUAUAGAUAACGUGCCUCUUAGUCUGGGAUAGCCAUUGGAAACGAUGAUUAAUACCGGAUACUCCUUCUCAUUAUAAUUUGAGUUGGGAAAGUUUUUCGCUAAGAGAUCGGUCUAUAUCCCAUCAGCUUGUUGGUAGUGUAAGAGACUACCAAGGCAAUGACGGGUAGCGGGUUUGAGAGGAUGAUCCGCCACACUGGUACUGAGACACGGACCAGACUCCUACGGGAGGCAGCAGUGAGGAAUAUUGCACAAUGGAGGAAACUCUGAUGCAGCAACGCCGCGUGGAGGAUGACGCAUUUCGGUGUGUAAACUCCUUUUAUAGGUCAAGAAAAUGACGGUAGCCUAUGAAUAAGCACCGGCUAACUCCGUGCCAGCAGCCGCGGUAAUACGGAGGGUGCAAGCGUUAUUCGGAAUCACUGGGCGUAAAGGACACGUAGGCGGGAAGCCAAGUCUGAUGUGAAAUCCUACAGCUUAACUGUAGAACUGCAUUGGAAACUGGUUACCUAGAGUAUGGGAGGGGGAGAUGGAAUUAGUGGUGUAGGGGUAAAAUCCGUAGAUAUCACUAGGAAUACCUAAAGCGAAGGCGAUCUCCUGGAACAUUACUGACGCUAAGGUGUGAAAGCGUGGGGAGCAAACGGGAUUAGAUACCCCGGUAGUCCACGCCCUAAACGAUGUUCACUAGUCGUCGGGAUGCUAGUCAUCUCGGUGAUGCACUUAACAGAUUAAGUGAACCGCCU